GCAAGGGGCCGCUGACAAUUCUUAACUGCGGAGGAUAACGAAGACUGGGCAGGCCCGCGUAGAAAGACGUCUUCCCGGGAAGAGGUGGAGGGUGUCCCCCAGCACGGGAAAUCUCUUUGCGGAGCCUCCUGACGCAGCGUGUAAGACAGGACAGUUAUGGAUUCUGAGACAAGACCACGGCGCCAGCUGUACGGGGAGUCGCAGCGCUCGCUGUGAACACAAAGGGCAUCACCCGAGCAGGUCUGCAGAGCGGCGUGGUUCAUGGGCAACCAGGGUGCCUCGAAAAGAUGAAGUUGUGUCGCCUGGAACUGAGCCCUGACCCCUGCUCGGCUUGGAAUGAGCAUGGAAAUGGCAGAGUUCUUAUCCCAGAUCAGCUCCCAGCUUUCCAGCCCCCACCCCAUCACGAAAGGUACCAGCCUGUCAUCAUGAAACCACUAAGGCUCGGGGACGCAGGUCUGGCCCACGCAUCCAGUCAGGAGCUAGCUGGGAUCUUCUCACAGGUUGAUUGAUGGUGUCUUUGGGCUCUCUGUUCUGUUUCACUGGACUCUUGACUUCUGCCAGUGCCACAGUGCCUUGGUGACUGAAAUCUUCAUAGUAACUUUUUUAAACGUCCUAUAUUGAUAUUUACUUAGUUUACGGUUACAAAGUGUCUUUCCUGAAUAUGAUUUUAAAUGCUGCACGCAUGCAGUACCCAUGGAGGCCAGAAGAGGGCGCUGGAUCCCCCACGGAACUGGAGAUACGGAAGGUUGUGAGCCAUCUUGUGGGUGCUGGGCAUUGGACCCAGCUCCUGUGCAAGAGCAGCCCGGGGCUCAUAGCCAGUGAGCCAUCUCUCCAACCACCUCAUUCCACCAUACUCCUUCCUGUUCUUUCUUUUUUUC
ensembl:lincRNA Gm16001 predicted gene 16001